rnacentral:rRNA from 1 species
UCUGGCAUUCAUCGUUACGGGUGUGGACUACCAGGGUAUCUAAUCCUGUUUGCUCCCCACACUUUCGUACCUCAGCGUCAGUAUCGAGCCAGUAAGCCGCCUUCGCCACUGGUGUUCCUCCGAAUAUCUACGAAUUUCACCUCUACACUCGGAAUUCCACUUACCUCUCUCGAACUCAAGACUAGCAGUAUUAAAGGCAGUUCCAGGGUUGAGCCCUGGGAUUUCACCUCUAACUUACUAAUCCGCCUACGUACGCUUUACGCCCAGUAAUUCCGAACAACGCUAACCCCCUCCGUAUUACCGCGGCUGCUGGCACGGAGUUAGCCGGGGUUUCUUUACCAGAUACUGUCAUUAUCAUCUCUGGCGAAAGUGCUUUACGACCCUAAGGCCUUCAUCACACACGCGGCAUGGCUAGAUCAGGGUUUCCCCCAUUGUCUAAGAUUCCCUACUGCUGCCUCCCGUAGGAGUCUGGGCCGUGUCUCAGUCCCAGUGUGGCUGAUCAUCCUCUCAAACCAGCUAUAGAUCGUAGGCUUGGUAGGCCAUUACCCCACCAACUACCUAAUCUAACGCGGGCUAAUCCUUCUCCGAUAAAUCUUUCCCCCGAAGGGCGUAUAAGGUAUUACUCUCAGUUUCCCGAGGCUAUUCCUUAGAGAAGGGCAUAUUCCCACGCGUUACCCACCCGUCCGCCGCUCAUCCCGAAGGAUGCGCUCGACUUGCAUGUAUUAGGCCUGCCGCCAGCGUUCGUUCUGAGCCAGGAUCAAACUCU